UUGUCGACAGAAGAGCGAAUGUGUCUUUUGCAGCGUGAGCGAUUCCUCUUAACAUUGUGGAAGUCAGCCCUGUGGAGACAGAACAACGGUUACUUUUGUUGAUGCCAACCACCCCCAGUAGGCAGAGUCCUUGUGGAAUAGAAGAGAAAUUACUGUUAUGAUAAUGCAGUCUAAUCUACAGAACAGACUGAGAAACCUAUUGUUGGAACAGCUAUACAAGAUUCCUAGAAUCUAUAGUCUGUCUUCUAAGAAAAUACCUGGUUUGUUUAGAGAAUUUGAUAGAUUCUCUAUCUAGUUGCCAGGUAACACUAUAUAUUUUCCAGAGGUAAAACACUGUCUCAAGAAAGUGUACCUUUGCUUUUAGGUUGCUUUUUUAUGCUUAUAAAAUCUGGACUCGUGUUACUACAUCAUAAACUAACAGAAUAAUUUCCUAUAUGCAAACUUAUGUUAUUAACAGAAGCUGUUUACUGGUAACUUCUUGUUUGGUAUUACUUCAAAUCUCUGAGGCAAAAUCCAGUUGCCUAAUGAAGCUGCUUGUGUCGUAACCCCAAGGCUGCUUAUUUUGUCUUCAUAAACUUUGUAACUUGAGAAGUGCUCUCCAGCAAGCCCCACCACAGAACAAGCGAUUUUUCCCAACAAACCUGAAAGCACUGGAAGUGUAGGUAAGUCACAGACGUUUUGUGUGCUGACCUUUCCAUGUCCUGAAAAAGUGACUUUUUCAGGGGAAUGCAAACUAAAGCCUCUCCUCCACAGGCAGGAGACAAAACUGCCUGUGUCUGAGCACAGAAUUUAGGGGGUCCAGUCAAAGUAAGUAAAUCCCUGAAGGAUCAGGGCUCUCUUCAUUAAUGCUUCAGCCCAGCUGGAAAUUGCCAGCAAGUAUUGUUAAAAUUGUAUGGCAUGUCAGAUGAUACAGUACAAACUGGAAAAAUAACCAUGACUUGCUUUUACUUCAAUAAGUAAAAUAAGUAAUCCUGCUCUUAAACAAAAUUGCCUUCUGAGUAAUGCAGCCAUUUAAAAUACAGUCAUUUUCACUAUUACAGAGCUUUUAAAAAAUUCUGAUAAAUUGUGCCCUUCCACAGCCUAACACGGAAAUUAUUGUUAUGCUCACUUAAAAAAGGUUCUAAGUUUUCUGAAAAUUUCUGACAUCAGUCAAUUUUUUCCCUGUUGUGAGGAUCAUCAGAAACAGAAUACUGUAGAAGGAAGAAAAACUUUAUUUGCUAAACAAAUGCAUUUGACUGGAGUACUCAGGAGCCCAUGUAAUUAAGCACUAUGCAAAAUACAACAUCCAAAAAAGAACAUGAAUGAAUUUUAUGUCAUGGUGUUUAUAGAA